rnacentral:rRNA from 1 species
UACGUAGGUGGCAAGCGUUGUCCGGAAUGACUGGGCGUAAAGGGAGCGUAGGCGGCGCAGUAAGUUAGGAGUGAAAUCCCGGGGCUCAACCCCGGAACUGCUUUUAAAACUGCUGUGCUUGAGUGAUGGAGAGGAAAGCGGAAUUCCUAGUGUAGCGGUGGAAUGCAUAGAUAUCACGCAGAACUCCGAUUGCGAAGGCAGCAUACCGGCGCCCAACUGACGCUCAGGCACGAAAGCGUGGGUAUCGAACAGG